AUUGAACGCUGGCGGCAGGCCUAACACAUGCAAGUCGAACGAGUGGCGGACGGGUGAGUAAUGUCUGGGCAAAUGCCCGAUGUAGGGGGAGAACUACUGGAAACGGUAGCUAAUACCGCAUACCAUCGGAUGUGCCCACAUGGGGUUAGCUAGUGGGUGGGGGAACGGCUCACCUAGGCGACGAUCCCUAGCUGGUCUGAGAGGAUGACCAGCCACACUGGAACUGAGACACGGUCCAGACUCCUACGGGAGGCAGCAGUGGGGAAUAUUGCACAAUGGGCGCAAGCCUGAUGCAGCCAUGCCGCGUGUAUGAAGAAGGCCUUCGGGUUGUAAAGUACUUUCAGCGAGGAGGCGUUACUCGCAGAAGAAGCACCGGCUAACUCCGUGCCAGCAGCCGCGGUAAUUC
rnacentral:rRNA from 1 species